GAAGCUCUUGAUAAGCUGAUGGAAGGUCGGACCACCGUCCUCGUUGGCCACAGGCUUUCGACAGUUCACGACUCGAGCGGCGUUGCGGUGAUUCAGAAUGGGAGAGUUGUUGAGAUUGGGAGCCAUGACAAGCUGAUUGGGAAACCUGAGAGUGUUUAUAAACGGCUGGUUAGUUUGCAACAGGAGAAUGGCGAAGGGGGGAUAGUCAUAGUAGACUAGUGGUCUUAAAUAUACUGUUCAUAAAAGCGGAAAGAAAUGAAAACCAAAAGAAGCAUUGCCCAAUCAGUCCUCUCUCCGCCAUUUCCUUUUUUGUUUUUUUUUCUAAACAACAGCUACUCUCUCUACUAAUUAGGGUUGCUCUCUGUACUUGGAUUCCUCGAUCAUCAGCAGCCAAGAGCCUUUCUAAGUUUACUUCUAUUCUACUGACCUUUCCCUCGCCUUCUCGACUCUCGGAUCUACGGUAUUCUUCAGCUGCACGGCGGUGAACUUUGUUGACUCCUAAACUGACACUGAACCAGAAGCCACCAAGGUUAGCUAGAAGUAGCAUCGACAGCAUUGUGGUUGUUGGGGAAGCACAGUCGGCAGCUCAGCUGGAGAAUAAUAGAUCUGGUGGAGGGAAAUGAGUGCUUCCAGGUUCAUAAAGUGUGUCACGGUCGGCGAUGGCGCCGUCGGCAAAACCUGUUUGCUUAUUUCGUAUACCAGCAACACCUUCCCUACGG
rnacentral:lncRNA from 1 species